rnacentral:rRNA from 1 species
UACGUAGGGAGCAAGCGUUGUCCGGAAUCAUUGGGCGUAAAGCGCGCGUAGGCGGCCCUGUAAGUCCGCUCUGAAAGUCAAAGGCUCAACCUUUGAAAGCGGGUGGAUACUGCAGGGCUAGAGUCCGGAAGAGGCGGGUGGAAUUCCUGGUGUAGCGGUGGAAUGCGCAGAUAUCAGGAGGAACACCAACGGCGAAGGCAGCCCGCUGGGACGGUACUGACGCUGAGGCGCGAAAGCGUGGGGAGCGAACAGG